AUUGAACGCUGGCGGCAGGCCUAACACAUGCAAGUGGCACGAGUGGGGGACGGGUGAGUAAUGUCUGGGAAACUGACUGAUGGAGGGGGCUAACUACUGGAAACGGUAGCUAAUACCGCCUACCAUCCGAUGUGCUGAGAUGGGUUUAGCUUGUUGGUGGGGUAACGGCACACCACGGCGACUCUCACUCGCUGGUCUGAGAGGAGGACCAGCCACCCUAGAAUGGAGACAAGGGCCAGACACCAACGGUAGGCAGCAGUGGGGUGGAGUGCACAGUGGGCACAAGGCUGAUGCAGCCAUGCCGCGUGUAUGAAAAAGUCCUGCGGGUUGUAAAGGACUUUCAGCGGGGAGUCGUUACCCGCAGAAGAAGCACCGGCUAACUCCGUGCCAGCCGCCGCGGUAAUUC
rnacentral:rRNA from 1 species